rnacentral:rRNA from 1 species
AGUGAACGCUGGCGGUAGGCCUAACACAUGCAAGUCGAACGGCAGCACAGUAAGAGCUUGCUCUUACGGGUGGCGAGUGGCGGACGGGUGAGGAAUACAUCAGAAUCUACUUUUUCGUGGGGGAUAACGUAGGGAAACUUACGCUAAUACCGCAUACGACCUACGGGUGAAAGCAGGGGAUCUUCGGACCUUGCGCGAUUGAAUGAGCCGAUGUCGGAUUAGCUAGUUGGCGGGGUAAAGGCCCACCAAGGCGACGAUCCGUAGCUGGUCUGAGAGGAUGAUCAGCCACACUGGAACUGAGACACGGUCCAGACUCCUACGGGAGGCAGCAGUGGGGAAUAUUGGACAAUGGGCGUAAGCCUGAUCCAGCCAUACCGCGUGGGUGAAGAAGGCCUUCGGGUUGUAAAGCCCUUUUGUUGGGAAAGAAAAGCAGCAGGUUAAUACCCCGCUGUUCUGACGGUACCCAAAGAAUAAGCACCGGCUAACUUCGUG